rnacentral:rRNA from 1 species
AUUGAAAGCUGGCGGCAGGCCUAACACAUGCAAGUCGAACGAGUGGCGGACGGGUGAGUAAUGUCUGGGAAAAUGCCCGAUGGAGGGGGAUAAAUACUGGAAAAGGUAGCUAAUACCGCAGAGCAUAGGAUGUGCCCAGAUGGGAUUAGAUAGUAGGUGGGGUAACGGCUCACAUAGGCGACGAUCCCUAGCUGGUCUGAGAGGAGGACCAGCCACACUGGAACUGAGACACGGUCCAGAAUCCUACGGGAGGCAGCAGUGGGGAAUAUUGCACAAUGGGCGCAAGCCUGAUGCAGCCAUGCCGCGUGUAUGAAGAAGGCCUUCGGGUUGUAAAGUACUUUCAGCGAGGAGGCGUUACUCGCAGAAGAAGCACCGGCUAACUCCGUGCCAGCAGCCGCGGUAAUUC